rnacentral:tRNA from 1 species
UCCCUGGUGGUCCAGAGGUUAGGACUUGGUGCUUUCACUGCCAGGGUUAGGUUCAAUCCCUGGCUGGGGAA